GCCCCCAUCGUCUAGUGGCUCAGGACAUCUCUCUUUCAAGGAGGCAGCGGGGAUUCGACUUCCCCUGGGGGUA
rnacentral:tRNA from 2 species